AUGAAGAAUCCACUUACUGAAAAGUGCAGCCACUGGUUGAAUUUUCAGCAAAAAAAGAUUAAGCAGAGAAUGGAGAGGAAGGUUGACUCCAGGUCUUUUAGGGACAGUGCAGUAAAGAAGCCUUAUUCUCCAAAGAUACUGUCCACAAAGAAAUCCUCUGCAUUCUCUGGGAGCCGGAGUGAGGGAUCUAGGGCCAGUCAGCCAGUGAAAUACCAUCCCUCCCAGGCCCGGGCCCGAAGGGACCGGCUAAGAGAACUGCGUGUCAGAUGCCUGGCCAGAAAGUACUUUCAUUUGUGGAUGCGAAUGACCUUUGGAAGAGUGUUUCCCUCUAAAGCCAGGCUUUACUAUGAACAAAAGAUUCUGCGAAAGGUCUUUGAAGAGUGGAAAGAAGAGUGGUGGGUUUCCCAUCGAGAGUGGAAACUCCGUGUUCGAGCUGACUGUCACUACAGAUAUUACUUGUACAGCCUGAUGUUCCAGACCUGGAAGACCUACGUGUAUCAGCAACGGGAGAUGAGGAGCAAGUACCUGAGAGCCGAGAAUCAUGAUGCAAAGCAAAAGAUGCGACAGGCCUGGAAGUCCUGGUUGAUCUACGUGGUUUUCCGUAGGACUAAACUUCAGAUGCAGACCACUGCCCUGGAGUUCAGGCAGCGGAGUAUUCUGUGGGUGUGGUGGAGUGCGUGGAGACGGCGACUGGGCCGGGUCCGCCUAGGCCGAGCCCUUCAGGCCACAGCCGUGAAGCACUGGGCCCAGAGCCUCCAGCUGCAGGCUUGGUCACGGUGGCAGGAGCAGCUCCUCUUUGUCUGGAGGGAGAGAAGGAAGAUGGUCUCCGCGGUGAAACACCUUCGGCGCCGGCAGCAGAGGAGAGCCCUCAGGGCCUGGCUUGAGUACCUGAAGCUGCGCAGAGAGAAGAGGCUGCAGAACCAGAUGGCCGAGCGAGUCCAGUGCACCACCCUGCUCCAGACGCACUUCUGUGCCUGGCGGCGCGCCUGGGCGCGGAGGGAGAGCCUGCACGCCCACCACGCGCGGGUGGAGGGCCUGGCCAGGAGGUCACUGCUGCGGAGGGCCUUGACACACUGGAAACACUACACGCUGCUGUGCACGGAGGAAGCUGAGCGGUGGAAGGCGGCGGGAGAACACCACAGGCGCGGCCUGCUGCAUUUUUGCUUUAAAGCCCUGAAAGACAACGUGACCCAUGCCCGUCUUCAGCGGAUAAGAAGGAAUCUUGCUCACCAACAGCAUGAUGUCAUGCUGCUGCACAGGGUCUGGAACCUCUGGCAGUCGCGGCUCGAGCAGAGGGAGGAAAGAGAGCAGCUGCCCUUCCUGCGUGCUGCCUGGGACCACAGCAGAAUAAUGUUGCUUCGCAAGUGCUUCCAGUUGUGGUCGCAGUCCACCCAGAAGAGGCGAUCCCAGCAGGAGAUGUUAGAGAAGCAGGUGUUUGCCAUCUGGUGUCAGAAGACGUCUCAGCAUCAAGAACACCGCUUGGCAGAGAGGAUGGCCGUGCUCCACGCAGAGCGGCACCUUCUGCAGCAGUCGUGGUCCACGUGGCGCCAGCAGGCAGCGGCACACCGCCUGGAGCAGCAGCAGCAUGCCCUGGCCUGUGCCCACCACCACCUCGGGCGGCUCAGGAGGGCCUUCUGCGUCUGGAGGGAGGGCGCCCGAGGGCUCAGAACAGAGAGGAUGGGCAGUGUGCGGGCUGCACGAUUCCAUGUGGCGUGGCUUCUGCGCUGGGCUUGGACCAGGUGGCGGGAGCGCCGGGCCCUGCGCAGUGCCGAGUGGCAGAAGCUGGCGCGAGCCGACCUACACCACCAGCACAGCUUGCUGCACAGGGCGCUGCAGACCUGGGGGGUGUAUCAGAGCCAGGUGCGGAGCGUGCUGCAAGAGGCGGCUGCCAGGGAGAGCCGGCACAAGAGGCGACUGCUGAGGCGUGUGUUACAUCGCUGGAGAGAGAACACUGUGGCCCAAGCGGACGAAACGAAAAAGACGUCCCGGGCGGCAGCUCACUACAGAAGGACUCUGUGCUCCAAGGUCCUGCUUGAGUGGCGAGAGGCAGCAUCUGUGCAGGUGUAUUUCCGAGAGCAGGCGGAUGGGGCUGUCAGGGAGGCCCAGCUGGUGCUGCGGAGAGGCCGUCUCAGGACCUGGUUUCGGUGCUGGCGGGACCGAAGCCGGAGGGCUGCCCAGCAGAGGCUGCAGAUGGAGCGGGCAGUGCGGCAUUACUGCCGGAAGCUGCUGCAGGAGGCCCUGGCCCGGUGGAAGGUGCACCAUCAGGGCUGCGUCAGGAAGAGGCUGCAGCAGAGGCAGGCCGCCCGACUCCUGGCCCAGAUGCUUAGCCGGGCUUGCUUCCACCAGUGGAGACGACAGCUGCUGGACAGGAGGCACGAGCGGCAGCACACGGCGCGGGCCCUGUGGUUCUGGGCCUUCUCCCUGCAGGCGAAGGCCUGGGCCGCCUGGCGGGGCCUUGUGCAGGAGACGAGGAGGAAGAAGGCGCGGGAGGAGCAGGCGGCGCAGGUCUACCACCUGCAGCUCCUCAGGGAGGGCGUUGAGCGCCUCCUGCGUUUUGCAGCUGGCACGAAGGCCUUCCGGCAGCAGCUGCACGCCCAGCAGCAGGUGCAGGCGGCCCACAGUCUCCACCGCGCAGUGCGUCGCUGUGCCACGCUCUGGAAAGAGAAGGCGCUGGGCCCGGGCAGGGAGCCGCAGUCCCCUGUGUCCACUGAGCCCAGCAGAAGAGUGACGUUUGAGCGUCUGCUUCCUAGCCACGUUGCUGCCGGGGCUGGCGAUGCCCCCCUGGAGACUAAGAGGCCACCAGCUCCUCGUGGGCUUUGGGGAGCCUUGGACGGCCUGGCAUCAGCCCCUGGGGACCCCCAGCUCCUGGAGCUCAAUGUUGCCCGUUGGGCACGGAAGCAGCCGCGACGCCCAAGCUUCCUGGCAGAGCCCUUGCAGAGCCGGGCGUCCCAGGCCCUGUGGGAGUGCGGCCUACACCAGGUCCAGCCAGUGGGCCCCACCCGGUCAGCACUGGACCCAAGCAGCCCCCUGCCAUGCGCCUCUGGCCUGAAGCCGCCGCCCACGGCGCACCCCAGCCCAGAGCUGCUGCCCCCGUCCUCCUUUGCACCACGUGGGGCCCAAGUACCCGUUUGGCGACCAGCCCAGCCGGUGACGCCUGGGCUUCCGCCCCAGGCCCCUCUGUCCCUGGCCGGUGUCCCCAGCCCCCGCCUGCUCCUUCCUGAGGACUUCAAGGGCACCAGGCCUGGGCCUGGCUCUGACCCUGCAGGCCACAGCGACGUGGAGGCUGAGCUUGAGGGCAUCCGGCAGCAGCUGCAGGACUACCAGACCACGAGGCAGAACCUCAGGUCCUGCCAGCGGCAAGCACACAGCCUGAGGCGGUGGCUAGAGCUGAGCAGGGAGGAGCCCCGGGCUGAGGACCAGGAAGCUGAGCAGCAGGUUCAGGAGGAGCUGCGGAAGGUGGAGGUGCAGAUCCAGCAGCUGGCCCACGAGCUGCAGGCCCGGCGCCAGCCCGUCCACACCUGCAUCGCUCGGGUCCAGGCCCUGCGGCAGGCUCUGUGCUAG
rnacentral:lncRNA from 1 species